rnacentral:tmRNA from 1 species
GGGGACGAUCGGUUUCGACACUGUCUGUUUGACUGUGAGAAGCGGGCCGAGGAGGCGUGGGUUAUCUCGUAAACGCACUCACGCAACUUAUAGGUGCCAACGCUAAGCGCACCGACUUCGCCCUCGCCGCGUAAGGCGAGCUUUCGAGGUCCGUCGAGCUAGAGAUGCUCCUGCUCUAGUUUCGGCGUCAUAUGAGGGGCUUGCUGGUGUAUUGCGUCGAAGGAUGCACCGGGACUUUUCCCUUCGGCUGGGCUCGUUGACCUAGGUGCCUGUCACAAAGGUCAGAGCCGAUGAGAACGCCUUGACAGGCUACGCCCGUAGAAGACACACGACAUCGGCAGUGGACCCGGGUUCGAUUCCCGGCGUCUCCACGA